rnacentral:rRNA from 1 species
AUUGAACGCUGGCGGCAUGCCUUACACAUGCAAGUCGAACGGUAACAGGUCGUCGGAUGCUGACGAGUGGCGAACGGGUGAGUAAUACAUCGGAACGUGCCUAGUAGUGGGGGAUAACUACUCGAAAGAGUGGCUAAUACCGCAUGAGAUCUACGGAUGAAAGCAGGGGAUCGCAAGACCUUGUGCUACUAGAGCGGCCGAUGGCAGAUUAGGUAGUUGGUGGGAUAAAAGCUUACCAAGCCGACGAUCUGUAGCUGGUCUGAGAGGCCGAUCAGCCACACUGGGACUGAGACACGGCCCAGACUCCUACGGGAGGCAGCAGUGGGGAAUUUCGGACAAUGGGCGCAAGCCUGAUCCAGCAAUGCCGCGUGCAGGAUGAAGGCCUUCGGGUUGUAAACUGCUUUUGUACGGAACGAAAAGCCCUGGGUUAAUACCCUGGGGUCAUGACGGUACCGUAAGAAUAAGCACCGGCUAACUACGUGCCAGCAGCCGCCGUAACAC